UACGUAGGGACCGAGCGUUGUCCGGAAUCAUUGGGCGUAAAGAGCGUGUAGGCGGCUUGCUAAGUCUUGCGUGAAAUCUCGGGGCUCAACCCCGAGCGGUCGUGGGAAACUGGCAGGCUAGAGUGCGGGAGAGGAGAAUGGAAUUCCUGGUGUAGCGGUGAAAUGCGCAGAUAUCAGGAAGAACACCAGUGGCGAAGGCGGCUCACUGGACUGGUAUUGACGCUGAGGUGCGAAAGCGUGGGGAGCAAACAGG
rnacentral:rRNA from 1 species